AGGAUGAACGCUGGCGGUGUGCCUAAUACAUGCAAGUCGUACGGAAAGGCCCUUCGGGGUACUCGAGUGGCGGACGGCUGAGUAACGCGUGGGAACGUACCCUAAAGUGAGGAAUAACUGCCCGAAAGGGUGGCUAAUGCCGCAUAUGCUCUUCGGAGUAAAGCUUCGGCGCUUUGGGAGCGGCCCGCGUCCGAUUAGCUUGUUGGUAAGGUAAUGGCUUACCAAGGCGACGAUCGGUAGCUGGUCUGAGAGGAUGAUCAGCCAGACUGGGACUGAGAACGGCCCAGACUCCUACGGGAGGCAGCAGUAGGGAAUUUCCACAAUGGGCGAAAGGCCUGAUGGAGCAACACCGCGUGCAGGAAGAAGGUUUUCGGAUCGUAAACUGCUUUUCUCGGGGAAGAGAACGGACGGUACCCGAGGAAUCAGCCCCGGCUAACUACGCGCCAGCAGCCGC
rnacentral:rRNA from 1 species